UGCCAGUGUGUUUCGUCUGUCAACGAUCACGCCAGCGCUCGUUCAAGCAGCUAUAGUCUUUGUCAAGGCAGAUGGCCGCCCACCUAGAGCCGUCUAGGGGUCUGCUCCGAAGUUUCUCCCUUCUAAAAGGCAGUUUUUCCUCUCCACUGUUGCCAGAGGACUCCGGAGCGCUCGGUGCCGUGAGCCUUGUUCCCCUGCAGCUGAUGGAGGCUGUAACCUGCAUUCUGUUUGGCCUGAGCAUCCUGACGAACCAGAAGAGGGGGUGGGAGUUACGACGACAGGACAAGACUCUACAUCAGAGAUACUGCAGAGAGAAACGAGAGAUGAGAAAAUGAGUCACUUUCUGCAAGCCUCCAACCUUUCGACUCAUUUUCUUCUGUUUAAGCCCCCACAACUUCAGCUUAAACUCAUCUUGAUUUCAGACUAAUCCAAGAGAGCUCACCUCACACAUCUGCAGCUGGAAGAGUCGUCUCUCCUUCUCCAUCUCCUCGGCAAUCUCUCCUCCACUGAACUCGCUUGGUUUCAUAAUCCCUCCAGGAUUUGUCGAAUGGCUUCUUCAGAUCCUGAAGGAGGAAGACCCAUCACAUGAUUAAUUGGGACCAAUCACAUCACAGCACUGAUUCACAGAGACAAACCGAGGCAGAGAGAACUUUGACCUGUCUCCCUUCAACAGACUGUCCAGAGGGAACGUGAUGAUGUUGUUCAUGUUCUGCAUCUGUUGACAGGAAAGUUCACAACAUGGACACAAACCUCCACAGCUCAGAGAAGAAAAGCCUCAAAUGGACAGAUUCCAGUUAUCCCAGCAGCAUUCAAAAUUUGAAUUUAACAUUUGGAUUCCUCACC